CCAGCCCAACCCUGCCCAUCACCGGAGUCAGGAGAACUACGAAACUCUCCUCUGGGCUGCUAUCUGUCCUCUCCUCUCAGAGGGCUGGGGUGGAGGCCAUGUGGCACCACCAUGACUACUCUUUGCACAAGGAUUUUCUUUCUGCUCUCUGAAUACCAGCUUUCCUUUCUUAACCCGAGCCUGUUUCUUUUAUGCUUCUUUCACAGACAAUGAAUAAUCAGCCCACUUCCUUCUUAUAAAAUCCCUUUCUAGAGUAAUCUACUUACCUCCUAAUGGGUGCUUUCCAGGCUAAAUAGCCUGUAUCUUUCUAAUCUCACAUCCCUGGACCUACUUUCUGGACAAAUAAGCAAACUGGCACCUCUAGUAGCUAUGGCUGAGGAAGCAGGAGCAGAGCAAGAUGAUCAGAGUCAUGAUGAUCCUGCCCCCAACUUCACUUCAGAAACUUUGGUAAAGUCUAUGGCCUCAGCUCUCCCCUCACUCUUGUCCCUUUUGCCUCUUAACGGACACUGGCACUUUCCCGUGUGGCCCUGCAUGGUGUGCUCUGUCUCCUGAGUCUCCAGGACUUUACCCCUUUUGCUAUGGGCCCUUCAAGUUCACUGGAUCAUUGUCAGUAAGAGGGAGAGGACUCUUUAGAAGACUGACACCGAUUUGCUUUCGGGCAUGUAUCCUCCAAAGAUGUCUACAACUAAAUAUUGGCAUUUUGACCAAGACAAGUCCUAUCUGAGAAGGAAUAAUUUCUCACAGAGAAUAAAAAGAUGUUGUAAGUAACA